rnacentral:rRNA from 1 species
GACGAACGCUGGCGGCGUGCUUAACACAUGCAAGUCGAACGCUGAAGACCUGGCUUUUGUUGGGUUGGAUGAGUGGCGAACGGGUGAGUAACACGUGAGUAACCUGCCCUCUUCUUUGGGAUAACGCCCGGAAACGGGUGCUAAUACUGGAUAUUCACUGAUCUUCGCAUGGGGGUUGGUGGAAAGGUUUGUUCUGGUGGGGGAUGGGCUCGCGGCCUAUCAGCUUGUUGGUGGGGUGAUGGCCUACCAAGGCUUUGACGGGUAGCCGGCCUGAGAGGGUGACCGGUCACAUUGGGACUGGGAUACGGCCCAGACUCCUACGGGAGGCAGCAGUGGGGAAGAUUGCACAAUGGGCGAAAGCCUGAUGCAGCGACGCCGCGUGAGGGAUGGAGGCCUUCGGGUUGGAAACCUCUUUCGCUCAUGGUCAAGCCGCAACUGUGGGUUGUGGUGAGGGUAGUGGGUAAAGAAGCGCCGGCUAACUACGUG